rnacentral:rRNA from 1 species
UACGUAGGGGGCCAGCGUUGCUCGGAAUUACUGGGCGUAAAGGGUCCGUAGGCGGUGUAGCAAGUCGAUAGUGAAAUCUCUGGGCUUAACCCAGAGGCUGCUAACGAAACUGCUGUGCUAGAGUGUGAGAGAGGCGAGUGGAAUUACGGGUGUAGCGGUGAAAUGCGUAGAUAUCCGUAGGAACAUCCGAGGCGAAGGCGGCUCGCUGGAUCACAACUGACGCUGAGGAGCGAAAGCAUGGGUAGCGAACAGG